rnacentral:rRNA from 1 species
GUGAGUAGUUCAGAGUUUGAUCCUGGCUCAGGAUGAACGCUAGCGGCAGGCUUAACACAUGCAAGUCGAGGGGCAGCAUAAACAUUGCUUGCAAUGUUUGAUGGCGACCGGCGCACGGGUGCGUAACGCGUAUGUAACCUACCUCAAACAGGGGCAUAACACUGAGAAAUUGGUACUAAUUCCCCAUAACACUUUAAGAGGCAUCUUUUGAAGUUGAAAGUUCCGGCGGUUUGAGAUGGACAUGCGUUGUAUUAGCUAGUUGGUGAGGUAACGGCUCACCAAGGCGACGAUACAUAGGGGGACUGAGAGGUUAACCCCCCACAUUGGUACUGAGACACGGACCAA